UACGUAGGGGGCUAGCGUUGUCCGGAAUCAUUGGGCGUAAAGAGCGUGUAGGCUGCUCGGUAAGUCCGCUGUAAAAGUCAAAGGCUCAACCUUUGAAUGUCAGUGGAUACUGCCGGGCUAGAGUCCGGAAGAGGCGAGUGGAACUCCUGGUGUAGCGGUGGAAUGCGUAGAGAUCCGGAGGAACACCAGUGGCGAAGGCGACACGCUGGGCCGUACCUGACGCUAAAGCGCGACAGCAUGGGGAGCAAACGGG
rnacentral:rRNA from 1 species